rnacentral:misc_RNA from 1 species
AACUUGAUUGCUUGUUUCCUGGAUUGUGGCUGUCUUCGAUCACGCCUGAUGUAUACAAAGUUUCUGAUGCUCCUCCAAAGGGAUAGAUGAUCCAUUUUUAUAAACUGGGAACUUGAAGGUGAAUGACUGCCCAACUUGUUGACACCAGCGUAAAGUGUAAAACACUAUGAGCCUGUAAAGAUGAAAGGGUAACGAAUGUAUCUUGUUUUUGUGCCUUUUCUCUAUACAGCAAGGAGCUCACUGCAAGUUUGAAGGGUUAUAGUCCGUAGUUUUGAGUAGCUGACUUUGUAGUUUGUACAUAAGAACUCUCAAUCAAUGGGUAGAAAUUUUAAUAUCAUUGUUUAUGUUUUCAGUUAAUAUGAAAUCAAAUGUUUUUUAGGCUGUUUAUUUUGCAUGAUAAUUCAUGAGAUAUUUUUUCUCGUUAGCUGACAUGUUGAA